CUUUUUUAUUAAUGACCUAAACUUCUGAUUCUUCUCCUCUCUUCGCCGUCAACGAAAUCUCUCCUCCGCCGUCGUCUUCUUUUCUCUCCAUCGCCAUCAAAUCUUCUUUGCUCGCCAUCGCCGUCGUCUCUUCUCACUAUCGCCGCCGUCUCUUCUCACCAUCGCCGUCGUCUCUUCUCUCCAUCUUCUACGUAGUUGUCGUACCUUCCUUCUGUUGCCAACAAAUAGAGUUGUUGUCUUUGCUGUCAUAGGAAGCAAGGGCUUGGAAGAGCUGUAGAAGCAACACUCUGGUUUUGAUAUAAUCAAACUUUGCAUCUAGAAUCAUGAGAUGAUGGCCAUCUUCUAGGAAGCAUGGCCUCAAGGUCCUGAUCUGAUUUUGGAGCUUUGGUAUGUUGAGUUUUCCAUUGAACCACGCUUACAAGGCGAAGAAUGGGAGCUUUCGACCAAGAUUGAAUGGUCUGGUUCUGUCCUCUCCUCAGACUAGUCAUCAUCUACUGGCCCCUUAAUUUAUUAUAUGAUGUUUCUCUUUUGUAACUUAUAUGAGUUUGUUUGGUGGUGAUAUAUAUGAUGGAUUGUAAGUUUGUAACAGUCAAGAGCUAUAGCAGUCAAGACUUGACUUGCAUUGAGGUAAUGCAUUCCAUUUUAAAAUUAAAGUUGUAGUUGCAGAGAACACAAAUCCAUUAGCUUUUGAAUAAUGUUGGAUCCAAGUAUCCAACUCAUGACUGUUGUUUAAUGAUAGGGCUCAAUUUGGUA